rnacentral:rRNA from 1 species
GAUCAUGGCUCAGAAUGAACGCUGGCGGCGUGCCUAACACAUGCAAGUCGGAUGUGCCGCAAGGUGCAUGGCAGACGGUGGAGUAACGCGGUAGGGAAUCUACCUUUUUGUGGGGAAUAACGCUCCGAAAGGAGUGGUAAUACCGCAUGAGACCGUGGCCUGGGAUGGUUACGGUGAAACCUGGGGACCCGCAAGGCCUGGGGCAAAAAGAGGAUCCUGCGUCUGAUUAGCUAGUUGGCGGGGUAAUGGCCCACCAAGGCGACGAUCAGUAGCCGGCCUGAGAGGGUGAUCGGCCACACUGGAACUGAGACACGGUCCAGACUCCUACGGGAGGCAGCAGUGGGAAUUUUGCGCAAUGGACGAAAGUCUGACGCAGCAACGCCGCGUGGGUGAUGAAGGUCUUCGGACUGUAAAACCCUGUCGUCAGGGACGAAGGUGGCAGUGUUAAUAGCGCUGUUACUUGACGGUACCUGGAGAGGAAGCCCCGGCUAACUCUGUG